AAAUAUGCUAGGGUUUUGAAGCAGACUAUACCGAGUGAGGGGCUAUAUAUAUCUGAAUUUUAGAACUAGGGUUUGGGGCGUGGUUUUUGCUUCACUUCAUCAAAAUGCCCAAGCAAAUACAUGAGAUUAAGGAUUUCCUUCUCACUGCAAGACGGAAAGAUGCACGAUCUGUAAAGAUCAAGAAAAACAAGGAUGUGGUCAAGUUUAAAGUCCGUUGCUCCAAAUACCUUUACACCCUGUGUGUAUUUGAUUCUGAAAAGGCUGAGAAGUUGAAGCAAUCUCUUCCUCCAGGUUUAAAUGUGCAUGAUCUGUGAGUAAUGAUUUGAGGAAUGAAGAUUUCAUUUUAGUUAUUUUUGUGAUUGGAAAUACUGGUUUGCUAUUCGUUUUUGCAUAGCAGAAUUUUGUAGUUACUUGAUGCAAUUUAGAGCAUUCAGUAUUAUGUUAUUUGAUUGGCUGGAUUGAUGUUGAUUGCAUGCCAUUUAUCAUCAUUAUCCUUGAUUAAUCUGAA